rnacentral:rRNA from 1 species
AAAAGUUAUCUCAGUUCGGAUUGCACUCUGCAACUCGAGUGCAUGAAGUUGGAAUCGCUAGUAAUCGCGAAUCAGCAUGUCGCGGUGAAUUCAAAACUGAGUCUCGUACACACCGCCCGUCACACCAAAAAAGUUAGGCUAAUGUAAAGGAUAAUAGUCAUUUUUUCUUUUUUUUUAUAAUAUAUAUAAUAUAUUUUAUAUAAAGAAAAAAAAAAGAAAUUAUAGAGUUAUACUAGUAUUUGUUUGAUGAUUAUGGUGAAGUCGGAACAUGGUAGUGGUAGGGG